CCUACGGGAGGCAGCAGUGGGGAAUUUUGGACAAUGGGCGCAAGCCUGAUCCAGCCAUGCCGCGUGCGGGAAGAAGGCCUUCGGGUUGUAAACCGCUUUUGUCAGGGAAGAAAAGGUUCUGGAUAAUACCUGGGACUCAUGACGGUACCUGAAGAAUAAGCACCGGCUAACUACGUGCCAGCAGCCGCGGUAAUACGUAGGGUGCAAGCGUUAAUCGGAAUUACUGGGCGUAAAGCGUGCGCAGGCGGUUAUGCAAGACAGAGGUGAAAUCCCCGGGCUCAACCUGGGAACUGCCUUUGUGACUGCAUAGCUAGAGUACGGUAGAGGGGGAUGGAAUUCCGCGUGUAGCAGUGAAAUGCGUAGAUAUGCGGAGGAACACCGAUGGCGAAGGCAAUCCCCUGGACCUGUACUGACGCUCAUGCACGAACGACGGUGGGGUAGGACGAAACGAAGGAGUAGUAUACCGUACGGUACGGUACCGACCGACCCGUAAACCGAACUAGUACACUAGGUUGGUUGGGUAGGGUUUCGUUUCUUC
rnacentral:rRNA from 1 species